UGGGGAAUAUUGGACAAUGGGCGAAAGCCUGAUCCAGCCAUGCCGCGUGUGUGAAGAAGGUCUUCGGAUUGUAAAGCACUUUAAGUUGGGAGGAAGGGCAUUAACCUAAUACGUUGGUGUCUUGACGUUACCGACAGAAUAAGCACCGGCUAACUCUGUGCCAGCAGCCGCGGUAAUACAGAGGGUGCAAGCGUUAAUCGGAAUUACUGGGCGUAAAGCUCGCGUAGGUGGUUCGUUAAGUUGGAUGUGAAAUCCGCGGGCUCAACCUGGGAACUGCAUUCAAAACUGACGAGCUAGAGUAUGGUAGAGAGUGGUGGAAUUUCCUGUGUAGCGGUGAAAUGUGUAGAUAUAGGAGGGAACACCAGAGGAGAAGGCGACCACCGGGACUGAUACUGACACUGAGGUGCGAAAGCGUGGGGAGCAAACA
rnacentral:rRNA from 1 species